rnacentral:rRNA from 1 species
UACAGAGGGGGCAAGCGUUGUUCGGAAUUACUGGGCGUAAAGGGCGCGUAGGCGGCCUUCUAAGUCGAACGUGAAAUCCCCGGGCUCAACCCGGGAACUGCGUCCGAUACUGGAAGGCUUGAAUCCGGGAGAGGGAUGCGGAAUUCCAGGUGUAGCGGUGAAAUGCGUAGAUAUCAGGAGGAACACCUGUGGUGUAGACGGCUUACUGGACUAUAACUGACGCUGAGGAACGAAAGCGUGGGUAGCAAACAGG